ensembl:lncRNA
UUUUAAACACUGCUGCCAAAGGCUACCUCACAAUGGGAAUUUGUGAUUGGAGCCAGAGAAAUCCUAGUCCUUGGAGAUACCUAGAACAGGUUAUUUUUCACUGGAACCUAAUUUCUCUGUAAAGGACAUUUGCUCACCAGCCACCUCAUCCCACCAGUUUAACAGCAGAUGGACUCUGCCCUUCCGUUGAGUGACCAGCACUUCAGUUUUCCUGUGUGGGAGGCAAGAGGGGACAGGACGUGGGUCCUGCUGAGGCGGUCUUCCAGUCUGCUGGAGGCACAAUUUGCCUUUGGGAAGCUGCUGGAGGUUACUUUAGCGAGGUGGCCUUGCACAGUUGUGGUUAGCAUCUGUGAGUGACUGUCAGUGACAGUUUCCUGAGAGGAUGCAGAGUGGAGGAGUCGAUGAGUUUAAUGAUGUUCUCUGGGCCACCAGGGAGAUCUGAAUGAUUGAGCCAGAGACCUGAGUAAUACUUGAUGUGAAAGAGAAGAUUGGUGGCCAGGAUAUAGGUAACAACACAAGGGACAUCAGCUAAAGAUGUGGAGAAAGUCAAGAAGAUGAUGUCUUAACAAACUGUCAAGAAAAAAAAAUUACGGAGUCGUAUUGAAAAGUACAGUAGCUAAAGUGAGAAAUUCACUAGAGGGAUUUAAGGCUGCAUUUGGGCACACACAAGUGUCGGGAAACUUUAAGAUAGGCCAAUGGAAAUUACUGACUGAAAAAUUCUUAAAUAGAACCUAAGUGACCUGUGAAACAUGAAGAGUAACAUACUCGUGGGAGUCUCGGAAGAGGCAGAGCUAAAAGGGCGAGACUAUUUGAAGACAAUGGGUGAGAAGGUCCCUAAGUAAAUGAAUGAGGCUCCACAAACAUCCAAGAGACUUAAGUUCCAAGUAAGAUAAACAGAGCUGCCAGAGACCAUCAGAUUUCUGAAAGGUACAGAGAUCUUGAAGGCAUUAAGAAGCAAAUCCUACAGGGCCCCAAUAACAGAUUUUGCAUCAGAAAUCUCGGAGACCAGAAGGCAGUGAGUUGAUCUACUUUUAAAAUGCUGAAAGAAAAAGCCUGUCAAGAAUACAGUACUGUCAAAACUGUUCAAAAAGGAGGGAGGAAUUGAGACAUUCCUGGAUAAACAAAAGCUGAGGGCCUUGCAAGAAAUGCUUGAGAGAUUCCUGCAGGGUAAGCUAAAGGACGCUAGACAAGCAAAGACUCCCAAUAAAGCCAGGUUGAUCUGCUCAGGUACCUGCAGUCAGCGAUGGACAGACUGGGAGCUGCCCAGUUCAGCAUGGCCUCAGCUAGGACAAGGCCGUGGGACAUUACAUGCACAGAGGAGAUGCCAGUGUUACUGAGACUGAACUGACACAGCCACAGGGCAAGGAAGACCAACAGCCACCAGAAGUUGGGAGAGGUCAGGAACAGAUGCUUCCCAGAGCCCCCGAAAGAGUGUAGCCCGCCAACACCUCGAUUUGGGUCUUCUGGCCUCCAGAACUGUGAAAGAAUAAAUGUAUGUUGUUUU